rnacentral:rRNA from 1 species
GCUAGUCUAUGUCUGAGUGCACCCAAUCUCAUGUGAUCUCAGAAACUAAGCAGGAUCAGGCCUGGUGUGUACUUGGAUGGCAGACUUGAUAUAAAUCUAGUUCUACCU